rnacentral:rRNA from 1 species
UACGGGGGGGGCAAGCGUUGUUCGGAAUUACUGGGCGUAAAGGGCGCGUAGACGGUUUGCUAAGUUGGAUGUGAAAACUCUGGGCUUAACCCAGAGCCUGCAUCCAAAACUGGCAAACUUGAGUACUGGAGGGGAAAGCGGAAUUCCUGGUGUAGCGGUGAAAUGCGUAGAUAUCAGGAGGAACACCGGUGGCGAAGGCGGCUUUCUGGACAGUAACUGACGCUGAGGCGCGAAAGCUAGGGUAGCAAACGGG